rnacentral:rRNA from 1 species
GAUGAACGCUAGCGGCAGGCCUAAUACAUGCAAGUCAAGGGGCCAGCAAUGGCACCGGCGGACGGGUGCGUAACGCGUACACAACGUACCUCUGACAGGGGGAUAGCAUUGGGAAACUGGUGGUAAUACCCCAUAGUAUUGCUGAGAGGCAUUUCUUGGCGAUUAAAGUUUCGGCGGUCAGAGAUCGGUGUGCGUCCGAUUAGCUAGUUGGCGGGGUAACGGCCCACCAAGGCGACGAUCGGUAGGGGGUGUGAGAGCAUGACCCCCCACAUGGUACGUNAGACACGGACCCGAACCUACCUACCGGGAGGGC